rnacentral:rRNA from 1 species
UUAAGCCAUGCGAGUCGAACGAGUUUAGGCUCGUGGCGUACGGCUCAGUAACACGUGGAUAACCUACCCUUAGGACCGGGAUAACCUUGGGAAACUGAGGAUAAUACUGGAUAGGCAAUUAUUCCUGCAAUGGUUUUUUGUUUAAAUGUUUUUUCGCCUAAGGAUGGGUCUGCGGCCGAUUAGGUAGUUGGUUAGGUAAUGGCUUACCAAGCCGUUGAUCGGUACGGGUUGUGAGAGCAAGAGCCCGGAGAUAGAACCUGAGACAAGGUUCCAGGCCCUACGGGGUGCAGCAGGCGCGAAACCUCCGCAAUGUGAGAAAUCGCGACGGGGGGAUCCCAAGUGCCAUUCUUAACGGGAUGGCUUUUCAUUAGUGUAAAAAGCUUUUGGAAUAAGAGCUGGGCAAGACCGGUGCCAGCCGCCGCGGUAACACCGGCAGCUCUAGUGGUAGCAAUUUUUAUUGGGCCUAAAGCGUCCGUAGCCGGUUUAAUAAGUCUCUGGUGAAAUCCUGUAGCUUAACUGUGGGAAUUGCUGGAGAUACUAUUAGACUUGAGACCGGGAGAGGUUAGAGGUACUCCCAGGGUAGAGGUGAAAUUCUGUAAUCCUGGGAGGACCGCCUGUUGCGAAGGCGUCUAACUGGAACGGUUCUGACGGUGAGGGACGAAAGUUAGGGGCGCGAACCGGAUUAGAUACCCGGGUAGUCCUAACUGUAAACGAUGCGGACUUGGUGUUGGGGUGGCUUUGAGCUGCUCCAGUGCCGAAGGGAAGCUGUUAAGUCCGCCGCCUGGGAAGUACGGUCGCAAGACUGAAACUUAAAGGAAUUGGCGGGGGAGCACCACAACGCGUGGAGCCUGCGGUUUAAUUGGAUUCAACGCCGGACAUCUCACCAGAGGCGACAGCUGUAUGAUAGCCAGGUUGAUGACUUUGCUUGACUAGCUGAGAGGUGGUGCAUGGCC